rnacentral:lncRNA from 1 species
CUUGUUCAUGCCCCCAAGGCCAAUCCUGACAUGUCUGCCAUGCAAACUAUGGAGAGAAGCUACAGUCGCCAUUAUUUCAUUUUUUAAGGUGACACUGGAGAAAUGAAAGCGUACACAACUUGAAACACCAAGUCAAAAUCUAUAUGUGUGUAAAAUACUGAAGAUUACCAUCUCCUUAAUUCACCCGUUGCUGCUGUUGAAGAUUGAGUCACAUAAGCCUGUGAGGAUUUGGUGACCCUGUGUCUCAGGUCACGACUGAGUGAGGCUGCUUCAGCUCCAAGCCCCAGACUAGACCAUUCACUCAAGGUGAAGUUGCGGUCAGACUUUAGGUAC